UACAGAGGUCCCGAGCGUUGUUCGGAUUCACUGGGCGUAAAGGGUGCGUAGGUGGUGGGGUAAGUCGGAUGUGAAAAUCUCCAGGCUCAACCCUGGGAAACUGCAUUGGAAACUACCUUGCUUGAGGAUUUGAGGGGGGAUUGGAAUACUUGGUGUAGCAGUGAAAUGCGUAGAUAUCAAGUGGAACACCAGUGGCGAAGGCGAAUCCCUGGAAAAUACCUGACACUGAGGCACGAAAGCUAGGGGAGCGAAACAGGAGUUAGAAAGCCC
rnacentral:rRNA from 1 species